UUAUUAGUUUUUCACCUUUUUCACACACAAAAUAAAUAUUUGCCAAACAAUCAGCAUACUGCCAAAAGAUUAUAAAUAACAAAAAAGUUUGUGUUUAAUUAAAAUAACAAUAGCUAAAUAAUAAUUAAAAAUGUCAUCAUCAGAAUUAACAAUGCUUGUAGACAUGGGAUUUUCCCAAAUUCAAGCAGAAAAAGCUAUCAAAGUAACUGGAAAUAAAGGUCUUGAACAAGCAAUGGAAUGGCUUUUGGCUAAUCCAGGAAAUGUUGAUACAGCUGAACAAAGUACUGAUGAUACUUCAAAUGUUGAUGCAUCAUCACAAGAUAAUAAUGGAGCUUCUGUUAAAGAGACAGCUGAAGCUAAAUCUCUUAAAUGUGAUGUAUGUGGUAAACUCUUUAAAUCAUCAUUAGAAGUUGAAUUUCAUGCAACAAAAUCUGGACAUGAUAAAUUUUCUGAAAGUACAGAAGAAAAAAAGCCUUUAACUGAAGAAGAAAAAAAAGAAAAGUUAAAACUACUUGAAGAAAAAAUGCGUCAAAAAAGAAAAGAACGUGAAGAUGAAGAAAAAGCUGAAGCUAUUGAAAAAGAAAAAUCUAGAAUAAUGUCUGGAAAAGCUGUUGCUGAAGCAAGACGAAAAAUGGAAGAUUUGGAAAUGAAAAAAAUUCUUGAACAACGUAAACGUGAUAAAGAAGAAGACAGAAUUGCUAGAGAAAGAGUUAAAAAACAAAUUGAAGCUGACAAAGCAGCACGUCGUGCAAAGGCAGCUGCUGAAAGUGGUGCAAUACCUGCACCAGUUGUAUCACCAGUCCAAGCUGCUCCAUCAUUUGUACCAGCUCAAAAACGUGAUUACACUGAGACAAAAUUACAGAUUCGUUUAACAAAUGGUGAAAGUUUGACUCAAACAUUUGGAGUUAAAGAGCCAUUAUCAGCAGUUAAAGUUUACGUUGAAAUGAACCGAACAGAUCUUCCUGGUGCUUUCAAUUUAAUGACAACCUUUCCACGAAAAGUAUUCAAUGAUGAUGACUAUGACACACCACUUGAUGUUCUUGGAUUAGUUCCAGCAGCUGUUGUAAUUGUACAAAAAAAAACUGAACAGUGAUAAUAGUAAUUUGAUGUUUUCCUGUAACUUGAUUGAUUCCAUCGAUGAUUUCUUCAGCUUGAUAACUGCCACCAGACCAAUCCACUUGGACUUUAGCUCAUUUUCAAUUGAUGAAAGUGCUGUUAUAUUAAAGGUAGAUGAAGCUGAACAAAAAAAAGGACCAGCAUUAUUUACAGAAG